UACGUAGGGAGCAAGCGUUGUCCGGAAUCAUUGGGCGUAAAGCGCGUGUAGGCGGCCCUGAAAGUCUGGUGUGAAAACUUGAGGCUCAACCUCAAGCUGUCGCUGGAUACUGCAGGGCUUGAGUCCGGAAGAGGAGUGUGGAAUUCCUGGUGUAGCGGUGGAAUGCGCAGAUAUCAGGAGGAACACCUAUGGCGAAAGCGGCUCACUGGACCAUAACUGACGCUGAUGCACGAAAGCUAGGGGAGCAAACAGG
rnacentral:rRNA from 1 species